UAGUAUUUCAUUAGGCUUGACGCAAGACUGGCGUGAAACAACUUCAACUUCUGAAAUUUUCCGCCAAUUUUUAACAUUCAUUGUAAAUCAAAGAACAACUUAUACACAUACAGAAAAGAGACCCCACAAUAACAUCACGAGAGUUAUACAUCCACACUAAAUCACACAUACGUCCCUAAGCUCCUCCGGGCUUGGUCAAGCCUCUAAACCACCCCUUCCCCAGCAGCAUUAGCAACCCUGACAUCCUAGAAACCAUUGUUUAUGUACAUCCAAUUAACUACAUGUCACUUCAUCUCUGGGACAAAUCCUUAUAAACUGCACCAGAGGACAUCACACAAAACUAGCUCGAACAGCUACGACUCCGUAACACCUUAAAUGUUUUAACAUAUAAACGUUCCAUUUAAAACACAAACUUAUGAGUUACAAGCCCAUUACGAUCAAUAGAGAGUAGAGACCUUAGCAACCCACAACCCACAAAUUAAACAUCUCACAUACAAUAAACAAAACUCGAAAAAAUUUUAUUUUUAAGUUUUUGUCACAUAAAUAGUCAUCAAUGAAGAAAAUUAUCAAAAAAAAUUUUAUUAAAGGAUAAAAAUACAUUUAUAUCACAUAAUUAACUAAUCUAAACUUAGGAUUUAGAAUUAAGGGAUGAAGUUUUGAGGGUAUAAUUUCAAAUUUAAAAAAAAAUAAAAAAAAAUAAAAAUUUUAAAAUAAAAAGGACUAUUUGGUCAUUUUCUUUUUUAAAUGCUAUUUUAUGACAAUUUAAAAAAAACUAUCUAAGAAAAUUGCACAAAAAAAACUAACCAUAAACUUGAGACCAUACUUCCAACUUACUCCACAUACUUUGUAUCCCACACUUGUUUGACAAAGAAGACACCCCAAUCUACAUAUAAAAGACGCAAAUAUAGCUCGGCUAUUUUCACCCCUAAUUAACCAUCCGACCACCAUUGUCUUACUGCCCCUGUCUAAUGGUUGCAAAAAUAACUAAUUUCCUUACGCCGUACAAGCACCCCGCCACAUGUUUUUCCACCCACAAAAUACGUAUAUUGCAGACACAACAAUUAGAAGUCCAACUUCUAACCCAAUGCAAAACCACUACACGUCGAGGGACACACAAGCCAAACACAUUUCAUAUAAUACAACACUUUAAAACCAAAUAAAAUCACAGCAAACCACUAGUUAAUAACUUUUUUUUUAAAAAAAGUUAAAGAUUAUAUUUUAAAAAUGUUAUUUGUAUUUU
rnacentral:lncRNA from 1 species